UCCGAUAUGGUGUAGUGGCCAACAUGAUGCCCUCUCAUCUCGGUUGAGAGGUUAGGCAUAGCCCCGAGUUCGAUUCUCGAUUUCGGAA
rfam:Colletotrichum tofieldiae strain 0861 Ct_v4_contig13, whole genome shotgun sequence.